rnacentral:rRNA from 1 species
CGGCGUGCCUAAAACAUGCAAGUCGAACGGGUCUUCGGACCAGUGGCGAACGGCGGAGUAAUACAUAAGCAACGUGCCCUGAAGACUGGGAUAUACGAUGGAAACGUCGGGCAAUACCAGAUGUGGUUGGGAGGAGUCAUCUUCAUCCAAUUAAACGGAUUUAUUCGCUUCGGGAGCGGCUUGUGGCCUAUCAGCUAGUUGGUGAGGUAAAGGCUCACCAAGGCGACGACGGGUAGGGGGUCUGAGAGGAUGAUCCCCUCGAGUGGGACUGAGACACGGCCCACACACCUACGGGUGGCAGCAGUUGGGAAUCUUGCACAAUGGGGGAAACCCCUGAUGCAGCGACGCCGCGUGGAGGAUGAAGGAUUUCGGUCUGUAAACUCCUUUUACAGGGAAAGACUUAGGACGGUACCCUGUGAAUAAGCUCCGGCUAACUACGUG